AUUGAACGCUGGCGGCAUGCUUUACACAUGCAAGUCGAACGGUAACAGGCCUUCGGGUGCUGACGAGUGGCGAACGGGUGAGUAAUGCAUCGGAACGUACCCAGAGGUGGGGGAUAACGCAGCGAAAGCUGUGCUAAUACCGCAUGUGAUCUGAGGAUGAAAGCGGGGGACCGAGCAGCAAUGUUUGGCCUCGCGCCUUUGGAGCGGCCGAUGUCGGAUUAGCUAGUUGGUGGGGUAAAGGCCUACCAAGGCGACGAUCCGUAGCUGGUCUGAGAGGACGACCAGCCACACUGGGACUGAGACACGGCCCAGACUCCUACGGGAGGCAGCAGUGGGGAAUUUUGGACAAUGGGCGCAAGCCUGAUCCAGCAAUGCCGCGUGCGGGAAGAAGGCCUUCGGGUUGUAAACCGCUUUUGGCGGGAACGAAACGGUGUCCGCUAAUACCGGGCGCUAAUGACGGUACCUGCAGAAUAAGCACCGGCUAACUACGUG
rnacentral:rRNA from 1 species